GCUCUUGUAGCAUAGUGGUUUAAUGCGUCGUGCUUAUAUGCAUAAUCUGUAUAUACUAGGUCACGCGAAGAUCGCGAGUUCGAUCCUCGCCAAGAGCA